rnacentral:rRNA from 1 species
CAUAUUUUUUAUAUCGAAUUAGAUAUGUAUGAUUUGCUAAAUUGCGGUCGCAAAUAAUGAAGAUCUUGAUUGCUUUUCACGUCAGUGUUUUCCAGAAUCGUUGACGUGACUAGUAUAUUCUCGCUCCUUCUGUUCCCUGGACUUCACUUCCCUGGCUUAUCAUACCGUUUCCUUUUUGUGUAGAAAUGUAUUUAUUUUAUGUAAAGCUUCUUAGAGGAACGAUGUGUGUCUAACACAAA